rnacentral:rRNA from 1 species
AACGAACGCUGGCGGCAGGCCUAACACAUGCAAGUCGAGCGAGGACUUCGGUUCUAGCGGCGGACGGGUGAGUAACGCGUGGGAAUGUGCCCUUCUCUACGGAAUAGCCCUGGGAAACUGGGAGUAAUACCGUAUACGCCCUAUUGGGGAAAGAUUUAUCGGAGAAGGAUCAGCCCGCGUUGGAUUAGGUAGUUGGUGGGGUAAUGGCCUACCAAGCCGACGAUCCAUAGCUGGUUUGAGAGGAUGAUCAGCCACACUGGGACUGAGACACGGCCCAGACUCCUACGGGAGGCAGCGGUGGGGAAUCUUAGACAAUGGGGGCAACCCUGAUCUAGCCAUGCCGCGUGAGUGAUGAAGGCCUUAGGGUUGUAAAGCUCUUUCAGCUGGGAAGAUAAUGACGGUACCAGCAGAAGAAGCCCCGGCUAACUCCGUG